UCUCCUGCAAAAGGAUUUUAAAUUUAGUAUUUGUCCUUGUAUGUUACAGCAAGAGUUAUAACAUGAGUUUCGUAUUGUGCACAUACAAAGCGGCCUUGUGUAACUCAUGUUUACGGUGUAUAAUAGACUUGUAACUUUGUGUGAUUGCUUUUGUUAAUUUGAUACUUAUUGGUGACCAGUGGAGUUGCAGCAUUUAUGUUAAGGUGUCCUGUUGAAGGACAAGCACCAACGGCAUCACCAAACUACGAAUCUGCCACCGUACGCAUAUUAUUAUAAGGAAGAAAGCUUAAACAACCGGAGCAAAAUAUAAAACCUUCGUCAAAAACAUAUUGAGAAAUAAUCGUUCGACAAAAUCUAAACCUGAUGUUGGCAUCAUGGAAACCAUGCCAGGGUUUUGUAACGGCGAACUAAACCCAACCGACUGGUUCUGUGUGGCGGUUUGCAUGUUUA